UGUUUGAUUAAACUUCUGUUAUAGAUUUAUUUAGGGAAAGUCUGCUGCUCCUGUAACCAAAGAAGAGCUUGGAAAAGCUACCUGGGCUUUCCCGCACCCGCUUGCUGCUCAGUAUCCUGAACAUCCAACGGGGACAGCAAAAGGAGGAUGU